UUAAAGCACUUUAGGCUGGGAAGAAGGUGAGUUGUUUAAGAGAUGACUCACUUGACGGUACCGGCAGAAUAAGCACCGGCUAACUCUGAGC
rnacentral:rRNA from 1 species